GUUUUUGAAGGCCAGAGCCUGCUGCAGCUCCCUUUGCCCACUGAAGCAGUACAGCUAUUGUUCUUCUUUAUCCCAAAUUCUGUCUUCCCUUAUGUUUUGGCUCCAAAGCACAGAGGACAGUUUUGGACAACUGUGGGUGAUGUAUGGACAGCAAAAGCAAUGCAAACUUUUGCUGUGUUUCUUUUUCCUGGAUGCCAAGAAUCUCAAAUGUAAAAGCAUUGCUUAUUGAGAGCUUAAGAGCAAUGUUCUCCAAACCCAGAUUCCUGACUCAUGACUUUUCUCAUCGGAGCAAAUUUAGAAAACUAUAUAAACAGUGCCUCUUUGGUCAUAGCUGAACAAUGUGUAGGAAUGGAAGCUACAAUCGGAUGCAGGAGGCUCUAAGCAUUCUGACUAAAAUUACAUGACUGCCUUGGGCCAGAGGAGAGGGGAUGGAGGAGGAGUGGGACUUCUCUGAAGUGAAGGUCUCUAGGAAGGAGCUCUUUCUCUCUAUCCAGUUGACUUAACUUUUUUUUUUUUUUUUUGCAUAAAGAUACAAGUGCUCUUGACUCAUAGUCCCUACCCCCUACAUAUUGCACAGACAGCUUUGUUACCACAAGGCAGAAAGCCACGAAAAGAACCAUUCCUUGAGUGCUUCAAGGUUGUGCCUCUGACUACUGUUUUAUACAGUUUGAAAUGGACAGACAUUAAAAACAACACGGAGACCAUUCUUGGAGUUUGAAGGUCAGCAUCACAGUCAAAACUCACAACUGAUUUCCAGAAGAUGGAAAUGCUUUCUUUCCUGCAGGGUGCUGGAUGAAAGGACUUGGAAGGUGAGGCCCCUACUACAAAAUAUGCAAAUAUGGAAUGCUUUCAACACAAGCUCCAAUGCCAAUAAAGGAUCCUUGGCUUUCAGAUUCAAUUAAUUCAACUAAAUCAAAGCAGUAAAUAUUAUCUAAGCUGAAGAUUGCUUCUGCUUCAUUUAGGGAAAACAAGUAUUUACUAAACAAAUGGAUAAGAACACAAGAUGAGAAGCCUCUACGUUAUCUCCUUCAGUAAAUAAAUACAAUUUG